UCGCACUAGAGAGAGUUGUGUGUCUCCUGAAAACAAAAGAAACCAUGCAAAAAGCAGGGGGGACAUGAAGGCUUUCGGUUUUUUCUUCUUCUUCUUGGGUGGCACAUGUCAUAGUAUUAUUAGCUUUGAGAAUUUUUUUUAAUAGAACAAGUGCCGAAUCAAAGUUUUGGUACCAUUUUUGACAGAAAAAAAAAGUACCUAAGUGGUAAGAAUGAUAUAGUUUAGGGGCCAAUUUCUCAGUUAAGCCCUAAGAUUUUGAAAAUUAUCUUUUUCAUUCUUUGUGUACGACGUUAGUUGGAGGAGAAGAGAAGAAAG
rnacentral:lncRNA from 1 species